rnacentral:lncRNA from 1 species
GGCAUCCUAUCUCUUCGCCUCCACCGCACCCACUUCUAUGUGAAUCUUUUCUUUGAUGGUCCCAACGUCAAGCUCUCCUUCGACCUGGCCACUUUUGCCUCCACUUCUACGACCUCAAAGUCCCCUGCUGCGUCAUCUCCCUCAAAUCGAAAUCCCAAAAAUUUCAACUAAAUCAGCCGAUUCGGGAAGCAACAGAAGCCUACGCAAAUCGGAGCACAGGUUCGCGGCUGGGCUAAGUGGGGAGAGAACAAAUUGUUGUGGAUUGUGAUGGUGAGCCUUGCAACAAGAAUAUAACCAAAUGGCUUCAUAAAAGGUUCGAUUUUUUCA